rnacentral:rRNA from 1 species
UACGUAGGGUGCAAGCGUUAAUCGGAAUUACUGGGCGUAAAGCGUGCGCAGGCGGCUAUGCAAGACAGAUGUGAAAUCCCCAGGCUUAACCUGGGAACUGCAUUCGAGACUGCAUUGCUAGAGUAUGGGAGAGGGAAGUGGAAUUUCCGGUGUAGCGGUGAAAUGCGUAGAUAUCGGAAGGAACAUCAGUGGCGAAAGCGACUUCCUGGACCAAUACUGACGCUCAUGUGCGAAAGCGUGGGGAGCAAACAGG